GAUUCCACUUUGAUUAUUGUAGCUGCAGUAGUGGUGCUGAUGCUGUCAUCGCUGUCCUGCUGAAAGAAAGAAAGAAACAAGAAGAGGGACCCUGAGAAGAACAAAACACCACAAAAAUCAACCAGUGACAUUAAUGGAUCCAAACACCUUUAAUGAAGAAGCAGAGCGACGGGAUCAGGAGGACAAACACUGAAUAACAACAGACCAACAAAUGAUCAAAACCGUCACCUUCACCAGCACGAAGAUCCAAGCUGUGACUCAUAAACACAGCUCAGAGUAACACACUGUAACUGAUUCAUGUGAACAUUCAGGAAGAGGAACAAAUGACACUGAGCCAUGAGCUCAGAGAAGCUCCACUGACCAAAAACUGUUUCUACUUUGUGUUCAUGAUGACACAGUUAUGAUAAAUGAGCAAACCGUUAGCUUACAAUAUGAAACACCUUAAGGUGACUGCUUUUGAUUGUCUGUUUUAAUUUAAUUUAUUUAAUUUUACUUUAUUUAUUGCCUUUUAAUGUUGUGUUUUAUGCUCAAUUUUUCUGGAUUUUAAUGUAGUUUUCUUUUGGAGCUGUAUUUUUACUGUACAGUACUCAACUCCGUAGUUUUAAAUGUGUUGUGUGAAUAAAUUUGUUCUUGAAUGUUGUAGUGAU